GAGUGAUUUCCGUUAAGGAGAUCUUUUGGCACCUCUAAAAAUGGUGCAGAAUAAGGGGUGGGCAAGUCUGGUGUCAGCCGCCGCGGUAAUACCAGCACCCCGAGUGGUCGGGACGUUUAUUGGGCCUAAAGCAUCCGUAGCCGGUUCUACAAGUCUUCCGUUAAAUCCACCUGCUUAACAGAUGGGCUGCGGAAGAUACUAUAGAGCUAGGAGGCGGGAGAGGCAAGCGGUACUCGAUGGGUAGGGGUAAAAUCGCGUUGA
rnacentral:rRNA from 1 species